UACGUAGGGUGCGAGCGUUGUCCGGAAUUAUUGGGCGGAAAGGGCUCGUAGGCGGUUUGUCGCGUCGGGAGUGAAAACCAGGUGCUUAACACCUGGCUUGCUUUCGAUACGGGCAGACUAGAGGUAUGCAGGGGAGAACGGAAUUCCUGGUGUAGCGGUGAAAUGCGCAGAUAUCAGGAGGAACACCGGUGGCGAAGGCGGUUCUCUGGGCAUGACCUGACGCUGAGGAGCGAAAGUGUGGGGAGCGAACAGG
rnacentral:rRNA from 1 species